UGAGUAAUCUGCCCUCGACACUGGGAUAGCCCGGGGAAACCCGGAUUAAUACCGGAUAGCCUUUCGAGCUCUCGGGCUCGUCAGAAAAGGNUGGCUUCGGCUUUCGGUUGAGGAUGAGUCUUGGCGGCGGAUUAGCUUGUUGGUGAGGUAACGGCUCACCAAGGCGACAAUCCGUAGCUGGUCUGAGAGGACGAUCAGCCACACUGGGACUGAGACACGGCCCAGACCUCUACGGGGAGG
rnacentral:rRNA from 1 species